CUCUCUCUUCUCUCUCUCUCUCUCCAAAUUUCAGCUUCUUCAAUGGAAGGAAACACAGAAAAGUUAGAGAAACCGGUGUUUAUUGAUUGAUGAAGAUGAACCCAUCAAGAACUAUGAAGAGAGAAGAGUUUUUGUUUUAUUUUAUCACUUAUCAGAGAAAUGCAAGCGUUGAGAAAAUCGAAAAAGUGGGGUUCGUGAUUUUUGUUCCAGAGCAAGAGAGAAUCAAUUUAGUUGGUUGAUAUCUCUCCGCUACUCCCUCUAUAUCUCUCUCUGAGUUUGGAGAGUGGAAAGCUAACGGAGGAUAUCUCUCUCUCUCUCUCUCU
rnacentral:misc_RNA from 1 species